rnacentral:rRNA from 1 species
AACCGGCUUCGGUCGGGGAUUAGUGGCGAACGGGUGAGUAACACGUGGGUAAUCUGCCCUGCACUCUGGGACAAGCCCUGGAAACGGGGUCUAAUACCGGAUACGACACUCUCGGGCAUCCGAUGGGUGUGGAAAGCUCCGGCGGUGCAGGAUGGGCCCGCGGCCUAUCAGCUUGUUGGUGAGGUAAUGGCUCACCAAGGCGACGACGGGUAGCCGGCCUGAGAGGGCGACCGGCCACACUGGGACUGAGACACGGCCCAGACUCCUACGGGAGGCAGCAGUGGGGAAUAUUGCACAAUGGGCGCAAGCCUGAUGCAGCGACGCCGCGUGAGGGAUGACGGCCUUCGGGUUGUAAACCUCUUUCAGCAGGGAAGAAGCGCAAGUGACGGUACCUGCAGAAGAAGCGCCGGCUAACUACGUGCCAGCAGCCGCGGUAAUACGUAGGGCGCAAGCGUUGUCCGGAAUUAUUGGGCGUAAAGAGCUCGUAGGCGGCUUGUCACGUCGGUUGUGAAAGCCCGGGGCUUAACCCCGGGUCUGCAGUCGAUACGGGCAGGCUAGAGUUCGGUAGGGGAGAUCGGAAUUCCUGGUGUAGCGGUGAAAUGCGCAGAUAUCAGGAGGAACACCGGUGGCGAAGGCGGAUCUCUGGGCCGAUACUGACGCUGAGGAGCGAAAGCGUGGGGAGCGAACAGGAUUAGAUACCCUGGUAGUCCACGCCGUAAACGGUGGGCACUAGGUGUGGGCAACAUUCCACGUUGUCCGUGCCGCAGCUAACGCAUUAAGUGCCCCGCCUGGGGAGUACG